CCACUCCAAGAUGAGGAGCUGAUCACAUACAUGUUGCAUGGUCUUGGUCCAAACUACGAUCCAUUGGUGACAAGAAUCACCACCCGCGCUGACUCGUACUCCAUUAACGACGUCUACGCACACAUGCUGAGCUGCGAAA